CCUACGGGUGGCAGCAGUGAGGAAUAUUGGUCAAUGGACGAGAGUCUGAACCAGCCAAGUAGCGUGAAGGAUGACUGCCCUAUGGGUUGUAAACUUCUUUUAUAUGGGAAUAAAAUGUUCCACGUGUGGGAUUUUGUAUGUACCAUAUGAAUAAGGAUCGGCUAACUCCGUGCCAGCAGCCGCGGUAAUACGGAGGAUCCGGGCGUUAUCCGGAUUUUUUGGGUUUAAAGGGAAUGUAGGUGGAUUGUUAAGUCAGUUGGGAAAGUUUGCGGCGCAACCGUAAAAGUGCAGUUGAAACUGGCAGUCUUGAGUACAGUAGAGAUGCGCGGAAUUCGUGGUGUAGCGGUGAAAUGCUUAGAUAUCACGAAGAACUCCGAUUGCGAAGGCAGCUCACUGGACUGCAACUGACACUGAGGCUCGAAAGUGUGGGUAUCAAACAGGAUUAGAUACCCGGGUAGUC
rnacentral:rRNA from 1 species